UCGAACAAUAAACAAUAUUUUUUUGAUGUCAAGGGUAAGUCCAAGUUUCCCUUCCCCUGGACUCUCGGUCUCCCACUUGUUACAAAUCUUCGGGAGUUCGUCCAUGACUCAUAAGAUAAAUAGAUCUUUUACGUAUUUGACCAACUUUCGAAUAGACUUCCUACUCAAAGAAUUCUGGCCGUGUACCAAUCGCUCCACCGUUGGGUGGAUUUUUUUCGGUUUAAAUUACUUGUGUUUUUCUCAGUUUGUUGAUCGUGCUUAAUUUUAUGUUUGUUUGAAAGAAUAAUGGCAGAAACAAAUGUUGAUGUUGUGAACAUGAUGAAGCAACUACACCAACAAGCAGUCAGUCGACAAAAAAGGGGUCGCUAGAGCUUGUUGGUGGGGUUUCGUCCACUCCCAUCAUAGACUUAGUUCCACCAUCAAGUGACGAAGAGCACCCAAAAAGACAAAAAAGGAGGGGAGACUCGAGCAGUCUCCUUGUCGAUUUUCCCCCAAUCGUCUUCGGGGAUAUGUUUGGGGUCAGCAUCCAUGUUAGUAGAGCGAUUCCAGAUCGCUUAGGAUGUGAAAGGAUGAAGAAGAGGCCAUUGUCUUGGCGCCAAUCGAAGACAUUGUAUUGGCUGUCGUGGAAAUGAUGAGUUAUUCUCUCGUUAUCUCUCGAGUGAUCGGGACCGAAGUUCAGAAGAACUCGACAGUUGCUAUAGAGAAGGUGAAGGCAUAGUUGACCGAGUCAUCGAGCUCUCAGAAGGCGACCCUGGAGGCCAUGAGUGCUUUGGAGGAAUACUCACGUCAAGUCAAGUCUGACCUUGACAGUGUGCGGACUCACAAUGCUACCCUAUAAGCCGAGGUGCAAGCCCUUGAGCAAGGUCAUACUGAUAUGUCCAAUACUCAAGAGGAGUGUUGUCGGCCAAGAACAAACCCUUGGAGGAGGAAUUGGCCAAUUAUUAAUCAUUUGUCCUCCGAAUUAGCAAGGAAGGUUUCAACCAAGGCAUUUGGCAGGAGGCCUUUUUCCAUGGAGUCUCGGUUAAGGACGACCGAUACGACAACUCAAAAGAUGUUGUCAAUGGUCAAUUGGUCUCCUUCAACGAUGUCGAGGGGGAAGAGGGGAGGGGGAACGCUCGGUUGAAGAGGUGUUCGACCUUGUUUAACUUUGUAAUAUUUAUUUUCAUUUUGAAAUCCUUUGGACCCAAGAUGUGGGCCCUUUUUGUAAUGAACAUCCUUUAUUUAUAAAAUUUCUUCUUGUAAUGCAA
rnacentral:lncRNA from 1 species